AGGAGGUGAUCUUUUUUUUUUCUUUCUUUUUUUUUUUUUUUUUUUGGUCUCAUUUUAUUUUCCCUUGACACUUCAAGAAUAAGCAAUACAAAUCCUUUGCUGUCUGGGAAGCUGGAAACCAGAUCUGCUUCUCACCUAGGAGGUUAGCCCAAGAUGCUGCGGUGGGGCCGCCCUUUGUUCCAGGCAGAAAGCUGGUGUAGGACCCGCUUCCUGGAGACAGGGAGGAAGGAAACCCUAAGGAAGGAAGACUAACAACGCUCUGAGUCACGACCUGAUUCUCAGCCUGCCUCCGGCAGCACGUGUCCUGCUCACCAUCAGUGGGGUUUAGGGCAAAGCUACAGCAGAUGCCCCUGAUAGAGCCCUUUAAGUACUGCGAAGAAAUUCCUCCUGUGUUUUCAACUUAAUGUUCUAGAAUUUAGUGUGUAAGCUGUUUUUAAAGGUGGUCCUCUAGGGAACGUAUAUUGUCAUGGCCUAUUCAAGAAAUUUUACUGAUGAGCAUGGGUCAGCACAUAGGGGAACACAACAAAGGCUGUGCUACUACCGUUGAUACGUCAUCCCAGUCUGAUGUACCAUCUUGCUUGGUGGCUUUGGCCAGCCCCACAGAAAUCCCAAAAGUAAACCCAAAGGAGAGCUGUGGUGAGUCUGAAGGACACUGCCAGACUGCGAAGAUACUGCAGAGUUUUUGUGUCUUGCAUUCAUCUUGUGAGUACAGAAAAUCCUUCCGUCACUGACGUUCUUGUUUUAAAAAGCUGAGGAACAGUUGGGAAUACUCAGUGACUUCUAGCUUGAACUGCACUGUGAGAAGCAAUGUGAGUAGGGAAAUGCCCUUUCCUCUUCUCCCAUGCCGAUGCUACAUCCUUGACCUCGGUCACAGCCGCUUCCAAGCAACAAUUCUCGCUGCGGCUAAACGACCUUCACACGUUUGAUACUGAAAAAGAUGGUUUGGGUGUUUCAUGAAAAUGAACUCAUCGGAGAUGUGCAUUACCAGGGGCUGGGUGCAGUUAUUCAGCUGAAUGUGGGAAUGAGAUGAGUUCUAGCAACACAAUAAAAAAGCAAAUUUGGUAUUUCAUGGUGUUGGAAAAGCAGUUGCUGUUGACAAGGCUCUGAAGACAACUAUCUGUGAAAAGGGGCAAAUGAGCACAAACUGUGGGCUUUGACCCUGGUUCUCCCUUUGCUCUGCCUAUGUAAAUUCUGACAGAUUCAGUCUUUAAAUAAAUCAUGGAAGUGACAAAAUUGUCAAAGUUUGAGAAGACAUCAAUACCCAGGUAAAAACAACAGAAACUUCUGAAAACAAGGGCAGCAAAACACUGAAUUAAGUGCAGAUAAAAAACACUUCGGAGGCUGAGGCUGUGCAUCCCAUUUGAUGUUUGAAUGUGAAGAACCUAGGAAGAAGUAUCCUGAAUUAUUGCUGCUUACAACAAGGAAAUGAACUUUUAUGGAGGUCCAAAAGCCCUUCUGUACUCAGAGGCUGGGAUGGUUUCACUUUGUUCUCCCUGAGCCCUGAUGUAGCUUCACAACCACCCGGUAGGAAGCGAUGCUUACAAAGUUGUAAAACUGGUGGAAAUAAGAGGAUAAUCUCUGCCUAACCACAGGGUUUUCCACGUCAGGAAUUCAAACAUCCUGAAAUCAUUCUGCCC